rnacentral:rRNA from 1 species
AACGAACGCUGGCGGCAGGCUUAACACAUGCAAGUCGAACGCAUCCUUCGGGGUGAGUGGCAGACGGGUGAGUAACGCGUGGGAACGUGCCCUUCAGUUCGGGAUAACCCAGGGAAACUUGGGCUAAUACCGAAUACGUGCGAGAGCAGAAAGAUUUAUCGCUGAAGGAUCGGUCCGCGUCUGAUUAGCUAGUUGGUGGGGUAAUGGCCCACCAAGGCGACGAUCAGUAGCUGGUCUGAGAGGAUGAUCAGCCACAUUGGGACUGAGACACGGCCCAAACUCCUACGGGAGGCAGCAGUGGGGAAUAUUGGACAAUGGGCGCAAGCCUGAUCCAGCCAUGCCGCGUGAGUGAUGAAGGCCUUAGGGUUGUAAAGCUCUUUCGUCCGGGACGAUAAUGACGGUACCGGAAGAAGAAGCCCCGGCUAACUUCGUGCCAGCCGCCGCCGUAAGAC